UUUAAAUGCAACCAUAAGUUUUCGCGCUCAAUUUUAAUCGUUCGUCUUAUUUGAAGUUUUUUUAUAAUUAGUACUUGUGACUUAUUUUUAUUUAAUUUAUUUAAAAAAUUUUCAAAUAAGACGGACGAUCAAAGUUGAGCGUGAAAAACCAUGGCUGCACUUAAA
rfam:Oryza nivara chromosome 6, whole genome shotgun sequence.